UGACGUCUCGGCGGAAGUUCCCAGUUUUCGUCUGCUGCAAAUAGGGUAAAGGCGUCCGCCAGCCAGGGCAGAUAGCCCAAGACCUGUUGCUUGGCUGGCCAGCCAGAGGUGCAUGAAGUUGGUGAUUCAGAGGGAAAGCAUUUGGAAGAGAAAGCAAUGUAGUCAUUUCAUAGAAUCCUGACAAUGUGAUUUUGGUCAAGGUGAUCCAAGGUGGGUGAAAAGAUGAGGAAAUGUGGAGCAGCAAUAAUAUGAGAAUUCUUCAGGGUAAUUGAUUCCGAUGAGUCACUUGCAGGUAACUCUGCUGAACCUACAAUGUGAAGAAUGCCUCCUCCUUUCCUCUUCUCCUCUUUUUGAGGUGAUACAAGGCUAUGAUGGCAAGUAAAAAAUGAGGUCUGCAGAUGCUGGAGAUCACAGCUGCAAAUGUGUUGCUGGUCAAAGCACAGCAGGUUAGGCAGCAUCUCAGGAAUAGAGAAUUCGACGUUUCGAGCAUAAGCCCUUCAUCAGGAAGGCAAGGGCUACAUCCUUUAAAAAAAACGCAAAUUGUGAAGGAUGCAGCAAAUCACCACGAAUUUGGAGACUUUUUUGGAGGGCAUCAUGCCCCUCUUGCAUCAGGCAACUCAACCAUUGCUCCAGAGUAUUAAUGUAUGCUGCACAGUGUUCCUCAUUGUAGCAUGACUCUCACUGAAGUGGAGUCAUCAUGCAUGUGGAGAGGCUGCUAACACUUGUCACUGAAUAGCCAUCCUCUGGAUCCAUGUGAGGCUGGUGUGUCCGAUUGAUGGACCUAUCAUGAGUGCUGCCAGGAAAAGUGAAGUCAACAACAUGAUGCGUUUGAAAACACAUGAACUGCAUGUUCAGGAAGUGGAAUCAUUGGUGAAUGCAAAGAAUUUCACCAUUAAGAUGCAACACGCAGAUGGCUUCCUGCGCCAUUGUGAAAUCUGCUGUCCUGACAAAGUUAUGUGUAUAUUCGUCUUCUCUCCUAAGAGAGAAGACAGCUAACUCUCCUUUCCUUAUGUACAGGACCAUUGUGUGCCCUCGAUACAGUAAUAGAUCGAGAUCAAAGAAAUAUUGGGGCUGUCAUUAGCUUGACCUGGAACAAGUUCCUGUAGAAAUUGAGGCCAACAAUAACCUUGAGGGUCACUGGCAGCAUCGUGCUUGCCAAGCACUGUAAGAGUCUGAGGAGAUGGUGAAAGGCCUUCUCCUUCUUCCUUGGUAAACAGCUUAUUUUCUUUGCUGCUUCUGCUUGAUCUCAUGGUCUGGAAAUGUCAGCUUUGGACUUGGGUGGACACAAUCAUAAGUCACCUGGCACCUCGUUAUAGUCCCAACAGGUUUAUUUGAAACCACAAGCUUUUGGAACACUGCUACUUUCUCAGGUAAAGGAGGGAAGUGCACAGGUGAGCUUAUGAAUUUGUGACCCCUACACUGAGAUGUCUUCAGAAGCAAAAUGGCUACCAUUGUCACUCCAUUCCUGUAACACUACAAUCAGUGAAGCUAUUCUGAUAAUCUUUUCUCUAAAAGCAGUCCAGUAAGGAAAAUUAGUCAUUUUUAAAAAUAUAUGUGUAAUAUGUAGCUGUACUUAAGAAUGCUUAAAAAGACUUAAAUGUUUUCAUCAAUUGUGAAAGGAUCAAUUGUAAUUCUCUUGGAUAAUAAAAGAUAUUGAUCCAUAUGACCUGGUAACCCUUGACCUGGAAACAGUACCAACAACAAAGAAGUGAUACAA